AUGGCAUCCCUUUUCUAAUGUGCCAGUCAAUGCUUCUUUUCCCUCUUCCAGCUGAACUUUUAUGUGAGAGGAAGCACUACAAGGAGAUUUAAGUCUCUAAGACAGCUGCAGAAGAACUUCAUUUUCAGCUUGUACAUCAAACUCUUCUCCAUUUUCCUGUACUACUUACCUGGACUUCCUACAUUUUUAUCUCAAUUUAGAUAAUACUGCUUCAGGGGACUAGUACUCCCUUCUAGCCACCUGCCCCAAGACAAACAUGUAUAAAGAAACUUUUCUGGAAGUAACAUCAACUGCCCUGAUAAAAUUCUUUUACAUCUCUGAUUCAAUGCUGAUUCACUGAUGCCCUAGGUCCAGGGAAAACUGCUGUAAAUCAUUCAAAUCGGAGAGAAAAGAACUCUAGUGUUUAAGAUUGUUAAUGAAGAUGUUAAAUAAACAGGACCAAACAGUGAUCCCUGCAGAGCUCCACAAGACACCUCCCACCAAUUUGAUGCAUUGCCAUUUUUCAUUACCCUUUAUUUGCACUCAGCCAGCCAUUUUUAAAUCCAAGAGACAGUACUCUAUGUCCAAGCCAAUUUGAAUUAAUUUUGCAAGUAAAGAUCUUGUAAGACACUACAUCAAGUGUUUUACUCAGACCAGAUAUAUUACACAUGCUUUCAUCCACUAAUUUUCUAAAGCUAUCAGAAAAAGCAAUCAAGCUUCGGAGAUUGUUA
ensembl:lncRNA